rnacentral:rRNA from 1 species
CCUACGGGAGGCAGCAGUGAGGAAUAUUGGUCAAUGGCCGGUAGGCUGAACCAGCCAAGUCGCGUGAAGGAUGCAUGUCCUAUGCGUUGUACACUUCUUUUGUCUAGGGAUAAAGUCCAGUCUGUGUGCCUCUUUGCAUGUACUUUAUGAAUAAGGAUCGGCUAACUCCGUGCCAGCAGCCGCGGUAAUACGGAGGCUUCGAGCGUUAUCCGGAUUUAUUGGGUUUAAAGGGUUCGUAGGCGGGCUGUUAAGUCAGUUGGGAAAGUACGGGGCUCAACCCGAACAGGGCAGGUGAUACUGGCAGCCGUGAGUACAGGAGAGGUAGGCGGAAUGCGCGGUGUAGCGGUGAAAUGCUUAGAUAUUGCGAAGAACUCCGAGUGCGAAGGCAGCAUACCGGAGGGGAACUGACGCUGAGGCACGAAAGCGUGGGUAUCGAACAGGAUUAGAUACCCGAGUAGUC